rnacentral:rRNA from 1 species
GAUGAACGCUGGCGGCGUGCCUAAUACAUGCAAGUCGAGCGAACAGACGAGGAGCUUGCUCCUCUGACGUUAGCGGCGGACGGGUGAGUAACACGUGGAUAACCUACCUAUAAGACUGGGAUAACUUCGGGAAACCGGAGCUAAUACCGGAUAAUAUAUUGAACCGCAUGGUUCAAUAGUGAAAGACGGUUUUGCUGUCACUUAUAGCUGGAUCCGCGCCGCAUUAGCUAGUUGGUAAGGUAACGGCUUACCAAGGCAACGAUGCGUAGCCGACCUGAGAGGGUGAUCGGCCACACUGGAACUGAGACACGGUCCAGACUCCUACGGGAGGCAGCAGUAGGGAAUCUUCCGCAAUGGGCGAAAGCCUGACGGAGCAACGCCGCGUGAGUGAUGAAGGUCUACGGAUCGUAAAACUCUGUUAUUAGGGAAGAACAAAUGUGUAAGUAACUAUGCACGUCUUGACGGUACCUAAUCAGAAAGCCACGGCUAACUACGUG